rnacentral:rRNA from 1 species
UGGGGAAUAUUGCACAAUGGGCGAAAGCCUGAUGCAGCGACGCCGCGUGCGGGAUGAAGGCCUUCGGGUUGUAAACCGCUUUUAAUUGGGAGCAAGCGAGAGUGAGUGUACCUUUUGAAUAAGCACCGGCUAACUACGUGCCAGCAGCCGCGGUAAUACGUAGGGUGCAAGCGUUAUCCGGAAUUAUUGGGCGUAAAGAGCUCGUAGGCGGUUUGUCACGCCUGGUGUGAAAGUCCAUCGCUUAACGGUGGAUCUGCGCCGGGUACGGGCAGGCUAGAGUGCAGUAGGGGAGAUUGGAAUUCCCGGUGUAACGGUGGAAUGUGUAGAUAUCGGGAAGAACACCAAUGGCGAAGGCAGAUCUCUGGGCUGUUACUGACGCUGAGGAGCGAAAAGCAUGGGGAGCGAACAGGAUUAGAUACCCGUGGUAGUC